CGGCGGACGGGUGAGUAACGCGUGGGUAACCUGCCUCAUACAGGGGGAUAACAGUUAGAAAUGACUGCUAAUACCGCAUAAGACCACGGUACCGCAUGGUGCAGUGGUAAAAACUCCGGUGGUAUGAGAUGGAUCCGCGUCUGAUUAGGUAGUUGGUGGGGUAACGGCCCACCAAGCCGACGAUCAGUAGCCGACCUGAGAGGGUGACCGGCCACAUUGGGACUGAGACACGGCCCAA
rnacentral:rRNA from 1 species